UACAGAGGGGGCAAGCGUUGUUCGGAAUUCCUGGGCGUAAAGGGCGCGUAGGCGGCCGCCUAAGUCAGACGUGAAAUCCCUCGGCUCAACCGGGGAACUGCGUCUGAUACUGGGUGGCUUGAAUUCGGGAGAGGGAUGCGGAAUUCCAGGCGUAGCGGUGAAAUGCGUAGAUAUCUGGAGGAACACCCGUGGCGAAAGCGGCUCUCUGGAACGGUACUGACGCUGAGACGCGAAAGCGUGGGGAGCGAACAGG
rnacentral:rRNA from 1 species